AAAAGAGUGAGAAAAAAACAUGGCGUGUAGAAGAACCAAAAAAUUAAAUCUAAGCAAUCAAUUAGAGAUCCUUAAAUCCAAGUGAAGAUUAUGAUAUUACAAAAGCACAUAUCAAAGAAUUUGAAGAAGCGAAAGUCUUAGAGAAACUUCUAAAGCAAUGAGCAAAUCAAUUUCAAUUAUCACCACGACAUGUUGAUAAUGAAG
rnacentral:lncRNA from 1 species